CCGUGUCCAUUUCUCCUGAACUUGGGAUUUAUAGAAAUCUGAGAGAUCCCUCUUGAAUUAUAUGAUGGGAUUUUCUUCAGGCCGCUUCUUACUUGAGCUUGAAUCUCCUUCUGAAGUCGGGUACUCGCAGAUGGACGGGUUGAGAAACCUCUGACUUGUAAAAUUUAUAACUUUUUACUCCAUGAAUAGUUUUGCCUGAUUCCAAUUUUCCUGGACUCCUUCUUGAGUGUAGAAUCCAUAAAAAUUAUCCUUGUGAUUUAAACCCUCGUGGCUUGCUAUAUAUGGCAUUUUUAGUGCACGUAUGUCCUGGUUGGCGCCUUGGCUGAUUGAGUAGGGCUUUGGGUUGACCUCUGGUUCAGUUGCUGAUCUGAUGACCGCAUCAGAAUUCUAGAUCUAACUUCACCUCAAGCUCAGUCCAACAACCACAAUAUCUGGGCAAACUAUGGUCUUUUUUCAUGAAGUUGUUGAUGUCACCAAAGGCCCACCAACGAUCCCAAACUCUCAGCUUGAGAAAAUCGCGAAGAAGAUAAGGACAGAGAGUGACGCAAAGAAGCGGUACCUGUUUCCUUCAGCAACAGAGAAGCAUUUGACAUAGAUUCUUCUCGUUCAAAAUCUACUUAAAAUCUCCAAUUGUGGCAACAACGCGUCUGAUCUUGAUUUAUUCUUAUGGACCUGAGCUCCGACGUGAACGGCUCUCUUCGUCAAGUUGGCGGCAUCUCGCCCACUUCUACGCAGAGGUGCCGAUCAAGAGCUCCUCAUCUCCAUACCAGAAAAUAUCAAAGGUACGAGCUUUAUGUCCAAGAAGAGCUCAUCGGCGGAAAGCAUCGAGCUUGAGAGCUUUCCGAUUCGGAGAACUCGCCAUCCAUCCAGAAGCUUGUAUUCAUCUCUCGAUCUAUAGUCGAGCUUGAGCUUUCAAUUGGAUAAAGUCAUCAGCUUUGAUACCAAAACAAUGACGAGCAAACGUAACUGAUCUUGGCAACAAAGGUUAUCUCGUCACGAGCUUGUCGCUUCAUCCUUUUGCUUGUAAGGAUUGCAACAAAGCUUAAGACUUACUCCCGACAAAGCUAGAAUUGAUCUCUGCAACAAAGGUCAUCUCAUCCUUUCGCUUGGAUCAAGUUUCUUCAAUGGUGGCUAGUUGUCGACUUGACACUCUGCGAGUUGUGAACGAGUUUCAAGACGAGCUCAGUGGUAGCGAGGCCUGGUUUCUUCACUCAAACUCUCGAGACAAGCUUACCGUAUUUGUCACAAGCCUCUCUUCCCGACAAUGGGUUCACCAUAACCAACAUGUCAGCAUAAAGGGAAACAGCUUCAGAGACUCUGUUCUUCAGAUAGAACCUGUUGACAAGAGACCCAAGCGUGACCUUAUCUGGCUCAAAAACAAGUUUUAGUAUCUUCCCAAGAAGAGAGAGAGCGAGAGAGAGUUGAGAUGAGCUAUAAAAACGGUUGAUCAACACAGAGUUAAGUGAAGUCGAUGACUGAUGGAGUAGAUGCUCUAGAGGAAGCUCCUGCCCAGUAAUGGAAGAGGCUUGAUGAUGGAAGAUGUGUUCCGGAUUUAGCUUUUUGUGGAAGAUUUCGGUGAGGCAAUCUCUUCGCCAUCGUCGCAGGCCAUCUCGUCAUAAACGAAACAUGAAGAUGAGCACUUCAGCUUCCCGUUUCUUCUCCACACUAAAGAUAAUAUAUCUUAUUAAAUCAUUACAUGCUUUAAUCACUUUUAAAUUACAUAUAUGUGUCACAACAUACAUCGUGCUGUGAUUUAAAUUAUUAAACAUUUCUAAGCUGCUCAUUCUCAUAUAAUCUUUAUGAGAUGUCUCAUCUUAUUACUUUAUUGCUGGUAGCCUAUGAUAUUAGUUAUUAACAAUUAUCAUAUCAUCAUGCACAACUCACGAGCAUUAAGUAAUAACGAGUUCUACAGCCUGCUUAUUGAUUAUGCCAAAGUUGGUUAUGUCUUUUGGUUUAUAUUGAUCUAAUCAUGAUGAUACUUUUUUUGAGCCAGCGAUCGUUGAGCCAAAGACAAGCGGUUGCCACCAUCAUGUCCUCAUGCUUCGAAAGGCGGCUCUCAGCUACGAGCUUAUCGGAAGCGGUACAAGCGGCAUAAGCCAGAACGUUUCUCAACAUCAUUACAGCCUGACGAGCAUACAAGCCAACAACUUUCUCGGCACACACGAUCUCGGCACGAGACUUCGGGUCCGGCAAUAGUUCGACAUCAAUCUCAUCUUCCUCUACGAACUUGGGGGGCUUACUGUUGGGGGUGAGAUUUGCCCUUCAACUAGUAUCAUUGAACAAUGAAUUAGGUCCAUUCUACUAGGAAACCCUAGACUCUUCUUUUUAUAAAUAAGGAGACACUUCUCAUUAUCAAAGGAUCUUCUUUCCAUUCUUAAACCUAGAACACAUCCUAUAAGGAUUUUAUAGAUUCUUGGAUUCACUUUGCUAUUCAAAUCAUUUGUGUAAUGCAAUUUUUGAUCAAUAAAAUAUCUUGGAUGUUCUUUCUCUCA